UACGAAGGGGGCUAGCGUUGCUCGGAUUUACUGGGCGUAAAGGGCGCGUAGGCGGAUGUUUUAAGUCGGGGGUGAAAGCCCGGGGCUCAACCUCGGAAUUGCCUUCGAUACUGGACAUCUUGAGUACGGGAGAGGUGAGUGGAACUCCGAGUGUAGAGGUGAAAUUCGUAGAUAUUCGGAAGAACACCAGUGGCGAAGGCGACUCACUGGCCCGUUACUGACGCUGAGGCGCGAAAGCGUGGGGAGCAAACAGG
rnacentral:rRNA from 1 species